CCGGAAAACCAUAUAAAGCGCUUGUUACCAGGACGGCCGUAACCGUGUUAUUAGCAGGUGUGUCACAGACGGUAUAUCUCACACCUGUCGGUAUUCAGUCGAAUGCUACCAAUAUUGUUGUAUCGGACAUCUCUUCCCCGGGACUAACAGCUGUCGUUCUUCCACAAUGUGACACCAAAGUUAACUUCCGGCCUAAUGGUGCUACAGCUCUAGCAGCUCCUAAAGUAGGGUCUGGUUUCCUUCCUAAUCUGUGUGGUAAUUGUGAUGGUAUGCCUAAUGAUAUUCCACCACCGUUCUCAACUGGUCGUACACUAGCCGAACGUGACGUUGCGUUCUCCCUCAGAAACUUAGCAGACCAACAAGCGACAACACCAGAAGGAGCUGUAUGUAGCAGCCUGAAGACAAUCGUUGCCUUACCAAAUUGUGCCACAGACAGCCAGCUAGCCCGUGCUACCAGUAUCCAGAAUGGCUGUGGAGCUCUGUUCCCUAAUCCCGCCUUCCUUACCUGUGCUGCUGCAGCAUCCUUACCAUCAACAGCAAUUUAUUCGGCUUACCGAGACUGUUUGAACUUUUAUUGCUCUGGGAACACUGCUGCUGCCUGUGUCACCAUAGCUCAGCUUUAUGCUGGUUUAAGUUGCGCCCCUCCCACAGGCUACAGCUGCCCUUAAAUAUAAAGCAGACUUGCAUGUAAAGUGGUUUCAGGAAAUAUUUCAAUAAAAGAAAUUAU